rnacentral:rRNA from 1 species
AUUGAACGCUGGCGGCAUGCUUUACACAUGCAAGUCGAACGGUAACAGGUUAAGCUGACGAGUGGCGAACGGGUGAGUAAUGCAUCGGAACGUGCCCGAUCGCGGGGGAUAACGUAGCGAAAGUUACGCUAAUACCGCAUACGAUCUGAGGAUGAAAGCGGGGACCGUAAGGCCUCGCGCGAUCGGAGCGGCCGAUGUCAGAUUAGGUAGUUGGUGGGGUAAAGGCCCACCAAGCCGACGAUCUGUAGCUGGUCUGAGAGGACGACCAGCCACACUGGGACUAGGACACGGCCCAGACUCCUACGGGAGGCAGCAGUGGGGAAUUUUGGACAAUGGGCGCAAGCCUGAUCCAGCAAUGCCGCGUGCAGGAAGAAGGCCUUCGGGUUGUAAACUGCUUUUGUACGGAGUGAAAAGGCUCUCUCUAAUACAGGGGGCUCAUGACGGUACCGUAAGAAUAAGCACCGGCUAACUACGUGCCAGCCGCCGCGGUAACAC